UGUGCAAACCAUAGGUUGUAAAAAUUAUGGACACGUCAUCAGUGACAUCACCCACUGGUUUGUAGAUUACCAUUUUGAAGGCAGCUGUUUGCAUUUUGCUCGUUUCCAUCUUGGUAUUUUGGAGCCAGAAGUGAUUACAUUUGGACCAAAGGACCGAGCUGGGGAGGAUGACACGGCUAAGCCAGGGUCGCGUAUGGUUACAAUGGCGCUGCGCUAAGCUAAACGCUAAAGAGGGAAAGUCCCCAAUCUUCAACC